rnacentral:rRNA from 1 species
CGAAGGACGAACGCUGGCGGCGUGCCUAACACAUGCAAGUCGAGCGGGGACAAUUGCUCGGUAGUGUUCUAGCGGCGGACGGGUGAGUAACGCGUGAGCAACCUUUCUCUCAGUGGGGAAUAACACAGGGAAACUUGUACUAAUACCGCAUGAGACCACAGAGCGGCAUCGCUUAGAGGUCAAAGAUUUAUCGCUGAGAGGUGGGCUCGCGUCUGAUUAGAUAGUUGGUGAGGUAACGGCCCACCAAGGCGACGAUCAGUAGCCGGACUGAGAGGUUGACCGGCCACAUUGGGACUGAGAUACGGCCCAGACUCCUACGGGAGGCAGCAGUGGGGAAUAUUGGGCAAUGGACGCAAGUCUGACCCAGCAACGCCGCGUGAAGGAAGAAGGCUUUCGGGUUGUAAACUUCUUUUAAGUGGGAAGAGCAGAAGACGGUACCACUUGAAUAAGCCACGGCUAACUACGUG